GAUGAACGCUAGCUACAGGCUUAACACAUGCAAGUCGAGGGGUAACGAGAGGGAAGCUUGCUUUCCUUGUCGACGACCGGCGCACGGGUGAGUAACGCGUAUCCAACCUGCCCCCAACUAGGGAAUAACCUUGCGAAAGUAAGACUAAUACCCUAUAGUUUCCUCAGAUGUCAUCUGACGAGGAAUAAAGAUUUAUCGGUUGGGGAUGGGGAUGCGUCUGAUUAGCUUGUUGGCGGGGUAACGGCCCACCAAGGCAACGAUCAGUAGGGGUUCUGAGAGGAAGGUCCCCCACAUUGGAACUGAGACACGGUCCAAACUCCUACGGGAGGCAGCAGUGAGGAAUAUUGGUCAAUGGGCGGAAGCCUGAACCAGCCAAGUAGCGUGCAGGAUGACGGCCCUAUGGGUUGUAAACUGCUUUUAUACAGGAAUAAAGUUAGCCACGUGUGGUUAUUUGUAGGUACUGUAUGAAUAAGGACCGGUUAAUUCCGUGCCAGCCGCCGCCGUAA
rnacentral:rRNA from 1 species